GCAACUGCGUUUCCUUUUGCUCCCGGUGGCCGAGGUGCGGAUCUGUGCAUGGGCCUGUGAGCCAUGAGGCCGGGCCACAGCGGAGCCCGCGGGCCCCGUGGCUGGGCUCUUCGAGGUGAGGCUCCCUGCGUCCUUACCUUCUGACACUUCUGCCGAUAAUCCUCUGUGAGGGGAGCCUGCGCCCAGUGGGUGCCCCGCCCUGCCCUCCAGCGGGCUUCCGAGCCUUGGCCGGGACAUCCUGACGUGGUGCAACAAAGCCUAUGAGUUUUAAAGGAGUAUAAAGAUCAUCAUGAUAAAUGUUUUCCAAAAAUUUGCCAUAAAGGAUGGCUGAAAAACCCCUAGGAAUACAACUGCAAGAGGUACCUAAAGUUACAUGUAACUGCAGAUGAGUGUUCAGGUCCUUAGCCAUGGUAUUCAGAAAUUCUUCUUAACCCCAAGUAUGGCAUGCAACAUUUUGGGAAGGAGAAAUGAAUUGGUCAAGAAGACAGAUGAACAGAAGCAGCAAGUGGAAAAAAUAUUUUAUUUGACAUUGAUAACCUUAUCUCAAUUAUAAAUUAGGUAGAAAAAUACAUGUUUAUUAUAUUAUAAUUACUGAGUAAUAAACUUUUCUUUAAAAUGUGU